CAGUCGCCGCGGUAAUACGUAGGUCCCGAGCGUUGUCCGGAUUUAUUGGGCGUAAAGCGAGCGCAGGCGGUUAGAUAAGUCUGAAGUUAAAGGCUGUGGCUUAACCAUAGUACGCUUUGGAAACUGUUUAACUUGAGUGCAAGAGGGGAGAGUGGAAUUCCAUGUGUAGCGGUGAAAUGCGUAGAUAUAUGGAGGAACACCGGUGGCGAAAGCGGCUCUCUGGCUUGUAACUGACGCUGAGGCUCGAAAGCGUGGGGAGCAAACAGGAUUAGAGACCCCCGUAGUCCCUGUCUCUUAUACC
rnacentral:rRNA from 1 species